CCUUUUUGCGUUUUGGCGUGCACGAUACAGUGAAGUUGACGAAAAGGAAAGUCCGAUGGUGGCGAGCGCGGGACGCGUUGGCUAGGGAAAGACGUUGGCUGGUGCGACGGAGGAGGCCAGCGAGUGAUGCGACAUGCGAAGGAGGCUAGCGACUGGUGUCACACGCGAAGGAGGCUGGCGGCGGUUGCAACAACUGAACGAACUUGCUUUGUAGCAUAUCUGGUUUGUGAGGAGAUGGAACAAGGGAGGGUCGCGCCAGGAGCUGGGACGAAACAAGGGAGGGUUGCGACGGGAGUUGGAACGAAGCUCGUGGUUGCGGCGAGAGCUAUGGUCUGGCGGAGCGGCGACUGCUCAUGGCGACGCGGUCAAAGGAGGUGGUGUAGCUAGCGGUGACUGUGGGUGAGGAAAGAGUUAAAAUAAGUGAGGAAAGAGAGAAUGCAAUGAGUGAGUCCGAAAAUGAGUUUUGGUGAAAAUGAGUGAGGGAAAGAGAGAGUUUGGGGGCGCACAAGUUUUUUUUCUUCUCUGAAAUAGAUCAUUAACGACGAUUCUUUAUAGAACCGUC
rnacentral:lncRNA from 1 species